rnacentral:rRNA from 1 species
UACGUAGGGUGCGAGCGUUGUCCGGAAUUAUUGGGCGUAAAGAGCUUGUAGCGGUUUUGUCGCGUCUGCUGUAGCGAAAUCCGGGACUCAGCCCGGACUUGCAGUGGGUACGGGCAGACUAGAGUGUGGUAGGGGGAGACUGGAAUUCCUGGUGUAGCGGUGGAAUGCGCAGAUAUCAGGAGGAACACCGAUGGCGAAGGCAGGUCUCUGGGCAUUAACUGACGCUGAGGAGCGAAAAGCAUGGGGGAGCGAACAGG